rnacentral:lncRNA from 1 species
GCUAGCAAUCAGCAAGACUCCGUGGGCGUAGGACCCUCCAAGCCAGGUGCGAUAUAAUGUCGUGGUGCGCCGUUUUUUAAGCUGGUUGGAAAAGCGCAGUAUUCGCGUGGGAGUGACCCGAUUUUCCAGUGAGAUGAACCCGGUACCUCAGAUUGAAAUGCAGAAAUCACCCGUCUUCUGCGUCGCUCACGCUGGGAGCUGUAGACCGGAGCUGUUCCUAUUCGGCCAUCUUGGCUCCUCCCUCAGUUCUGGAGACUGGGACAUCCAAGGUCAAUGUGCUGGCAGAUUCAAUGUCUGGAGUGAAAUACAUCACCGCUUUCCCUGCUCCCGCCGCCAUUAAAAUUGUGUUUGGCAUCUGACCACCAAGAUACAGAUAUUUCCUAGACUGUUUUGCAGCUAGGUACUUAGAUUUCAUACUAGGACCUUUCAUUGGCUGAACAAAGACAAAGACAGAAAUCAAGGAAGGUCAAAGAAGCAGUCAGUUUUCUGGCACCCAAAGUUGUUGGAGAAGGGUACAGAGUCGGUAAAUAAGUCAUAUGACAGACAGGCAGUAUUUUCUUAUUUUAAUAACAAGUUUAAAAAUCCCACUUCUUGUACUUACCUUCUGUCUGACGUCAUCAGUAUUUUAAAAUGCCAACUGGGAUCAAGUUCAACACUGCAUUACUGAAGAAUCCAGAUUAUCUACAUUUCAAGUGCCAAAUGAAAGAAAGAACCCAGAAAAUAAAAC